rnacentral:rRNA from 1 species
UACGGAGGGUGCAAGCGUUAUCCGGAUUCACUGGGUUUAAAGGGUGCGUAGGAGGGCAGGUAAGUCAGUGGUGAAAUCUCCGAGCUUAACUUGGAACUGCCGUUGAUACUAUCUGUCUUGAAUAUUGUGGAGGUGAGCGGAAUAUGUCAUGUAGCGGUGAAAUGCUUAGAUAUGACAUAGAACACCAAUUGCGAAGGCAGCUGGCUACACAAAUAUUGACACUGAGGCACGAAAGCGUGGGGAUCAAACAGG